rnacentral:lncRNA from 10 species
GAAGCGUUGGAACCUAUCACUUAGCCUAGCAUCUAGGUGAUGUGAUUCUCCUCUCUUGCCUGGUUCCUGCCCACUGGAGAGAUUGUGACCCAUUGCUGAGCCCAGGGCCAAGGUGAUGUCACUCUCCUGCCUUGGCUGUGCCCAUGGGGGCCACUGUGACACCUGUCUAGGCUAAUAACUUAAGUGAAGCGAGUCUCCUUUCCUGCCUAAGCUCUGCCUACAGGGGGGAUUUUGAUAUAUCACUGGGCCCAACAGCCAGGUUGUAUUGUGCCAUAUAUCUGUGUCCAAAUUAUAAGCACAAUGAUGAAUCUUUUACUGGGAGUCAAGAUAUGUGCAGGAUGGUGAAACUUAUCACUGGACCUUUCCACAGUGUUAUUGUCACAUAUACCUUUGUCCAACAUGUGAGUGAUUUGACUCUGCAGACUGGGUCCAGUUCACAAACAAAAUUGUGCCAUAUACCUGGGCCAAGAACCUAAUAGAUGGAGUCUUGCUCUGUUGCCCAGGCUGGAAUGCAAUGAUGCAAUCUCAGCUCACUGCAAC